UCCGAUAAUGGCAAAACCGGGGCAACCCGGUGACGCAAAGCCACGGAUCCCGAAAGGGAUAGCCGGGUUACCGAAG
rnacentral:ncRNA from 1 species